UCUUUUUUUAAACACAUAUUAAACCAUUUUAGAAACGGCUGGCGAAUUAUUUUAAUUAUUUUCGACUAUCGAGACUUGCAGUUUGAAAAAUUAAAGACGUCGUGAAGAAAAUACUUGUAUUAUUGAAGAAAAACAUUUCGCAACAGUGAAUAUUCUAGAAUAAAUAUAGCAUUAGAGAAAUUUUUCUAUCGCGAGUCAAUAAUUUAAGAAGAAAACUGCUAGAACUUAUAAAAUUUAAAAGCACUUCCCGACUAUAUAGUCUGGUUCUAGGAAACCUAAAAAUUUCUAGGUCAUCUUUAAGGCGUUGAGCAACAAGCAGCUGGUGGAGAUAACUCUCAGAGUGCUGUUGAUGUUUCACCUCGACGAUACGAACCAGGUGCAAAGGUUUUUCGAGUCGACGAAGAGAACCGAUACAUAAAACGUUUCUGCCUAAUCGGCAUUCUUGACUAACAGGAUUUCCUAUUAGGAAUUUCGAUAAACAGAAACCAUCUUCGGUUACAAGUGCAGACUGACCCUAAAUAGUCUGAUUCAAUUUUUCCUUGUACAGUCGACGGCAUCAGAUAUUAUUAUUAUUAUUGAUGUCAAUCUAGAGUUCCAUGAAUAAGAAACACUCUUCGAUUUGUAACACGUGUCCAAUAUUCUUCUUUAUUUUUUCAGAAAAAAUUCUUAGAUUAAUUUGUGAAGUUUUUUUUUUUUAUCUUUAUGUCGAUUUUUAAUCGAAACGACUAAAACUAUUAGAGAGUUCUUAUUUUUAUUUUCUUUUAUCGUUUAUUGAGAUUAAUUGGGAGGAAAGAUUUCGCGAAUUCUUUUCCGCUUAGACCUACAAAACAUUUUUGUUUUUCCUUUACUUUUUUUUUUAUAUUCUGUCUGCUACAACAAACAUAAACACACUAUCUCGAUUCUCCGUAAUAGUCUUCUUCAUAUUGGCUACUUUUUGUAACAAGUUUUCUUCCAUUUUUCAGACAUCGCGACUCCUUUAAUCAAAAAAGUUCAUUCCGAACCAUAUUUAUGCAUUUAAACUAACAGAAAAAAAAAGAGAGAAAAAUCGUCUUCUCGCAUCGGAAUUUACGUUUUAAAAACAUCUUUUAGCUACGAUUUAACUCUUUCUUUUUUAUUCUUUUAAUCGUUUAAUUUCGGUGAAAGAAUAUUUAUCCAGCAGGAAAAUUAAUCAUCGAGUAAUUUAUUCCUUAAAUUUAAUUGUUAAUUUUGGUUUUAAAACUUAAUAAUUAAGCCCGAACCAUUAUUGUCAUCAUAACGAAGAAAGGAUGUAAAUUCAAAGAUUUAUAUUCAUUAGUCAUAACUUUUAAUAAAAUUUAUAAUGCGGGGUGUAAUUAUAGAAGAGAAAAAAGUAUACUGCCAUCUGUCAGUGGAUUGUUGAAUUAAUUUCGAACGCAUUCUACAUUACUUAUUAUUCUUUAGAAAGAAAGAAAGAGAAAAAAAUAAAUUCUGUAAAUGUUUCCUCGUUAAUUUAUUUAUAAACGAGUAAAAAUUGUUUACGGGGCUUUUGUUACGAUUUUCUGAAGUCUGGUUUAGUAAAUUUUUCAACCCUUUCAAGUUUAUGAUGCGACCAACUAGACUGAUGUCAUUCCUUUAAUAAAUUUAUAUACAAAUGACUAGUUAACCGCUCUGGCUUUACUGAAUGAGCAACUCUUCUUGGUAUUGUUGCGUGGAACGAUUGAUAAGCUUUUAUGAUGUGAAAAAUUUUAAAUAUUUCUUUUUUUUGGCAUGGUAGAAAUAUUUGUUAAACUCGAACUAUUUAAGAGAGAGAGAGAAGCUGUGAAGUGUAUGUGUGUGUGUGUGUGUGUGGUCCUCGAACAGCGCCGUUUCGUCGUCUCGAUCCUUACACAAUUGUUUAAUAGAUUGUUAAAUUUAAUAUUAAUAGAAAGAAAAAGGAAAAUCGAGGUCGUUUUACUCAUUUUAAACAGGCUCUGACAGACAUUAAAAGCGAUCCCACUCAUUCCAGUACGAACGAACUUCUGGCAUAUGUCGACUUUAAAAAUUCGGUUAAUGCGUAUUUUUUAAAAAAUAUUCAUGUAUAAAUAUUUCUUUUAAAUAAACAGUAAAUCCAGACAACUUCCUCUACUGGAAACCGAACGAUUUAAUCUUAAAAAACGAACUGGACAUACAAAUGUAGCACAUAUAGGUGAUAUACAAUAAUGGUAUCACGUUUACGGUAACAUUUCGAAGAAUACUGUUUACUUUGAAAGCAAUCCAGAAGAGAUGGAUGCGAUUUGAUGUUAUUUAUUACCUAAGGUAUAAACAGAAUCUUCCCUUUGGUAUACGAGCCUUUAAUGCAUGACGCAUCGAAGGAUGCAGGCCAAAACCAACAGUAGACCUAUUUUCUUACCAUGCUAAUGGUCACUGGUUUAGACGGAUAGAAACUGCAAAAAAAAAAAAAAAAAAAUUAAAAACCGACAAAGCGAUAGAUA
rnacentral:lncRNA from 1 species